GUCGAGCGAACAGACGAGGAGCUUGCUCCUCUGACGUUAGCGGCGGACGGGUGAGUAACACGUGGAUAACCUACCUAUAAGACUGGGAUAACUUCGGGAAACCGGAGCUAAUACCGGAUAAUAUAUUGAACCGCAUGGUUCAAUAGUGAAAGACGGUUUUGCUGUCACUUAUAGAUGGAUCCGCGCCGCAUUAGCUAGUUGGUAAGGUAACGGCUUACCAAGGCAACGAUGCGUAGCCGACCUGAGAGGGUGAUCGGCCACACUGGAACUGAGACACGGUCCAGACUCCUACGGGAGGCAGCAGUAGGGAAUCUUCCGCAAUGGGCGAAAGCCUGACGGAGCAACGCCGCGUGAGUGAUGAAGGUCUUCGGAUCGUAAAACUCUGUUAUUAGGGAAGAACAAAUGUGUAAGUAACUAUGCACGUCUUGACGGUACCUAAUCAGAAAGCCACGGCUAACUACGUGCCAGCAGCCGCGGUAAUACGUAGGUGGCAAGCGUUAUCCGGAAUUAUUGGGCGUAAAGCGCGCGUAGGCGGUUUUUUAAGUCUGAUGUGAAAGCCCACGGCUCAACCGUGGAGGGUCAUUGGAAACUGGAAAACUUGAGUGCAGAAGAGGAAAGUGGAAUUCCAUGUGUAGCGGUGAAAUGCGCAGAGAUAUGGAGGAACACCAGUGGCGAAGGCGACUUU
rnacentral:rRNA from 1 species